AGGUGAUUGACGGAGUUUUUGGAGUUGGAUCAAUCCAACCAAGUUUAAAAGAAUAUCUACAAAAAAUUGAUCCUUCUGAACCUCCAAAGACAAAGGUAAAUGAUAAUGAAAAUGGAGCCUGGGAUACGUGGCAGUAUUGGUCAGAGGUGGAUAGAAUUGAAAAAGAUUACCUGAAGAGAAAGGAGUCAACAUCACAACCACCUCAUGAAUCAACUCAGUGCCAAAGUCCACAAAAUACACAGUAUUACACUCCUCCAACAGAGGCAGCUGAUGGAAAUGUUGAACAAACUGAAGAGGAUGUACUUCAUGAUUUACGUAAAAGGGCAGAGGAACUUGUGGACAUAAAGUCCAAAUUUGAUGAAGAUUUAGUGAAAGCAAGGGAAAAGUUUCC